rnacentral:rRNA from 1 species
CGUGGGUAACCUGCCUCAUACACAUGGAUAACAUACCGAAAGGUAUGCUAAUACAAGAUGAUAUAAGAGAUUCGCAUGGAUUUCUUAUCAAAGCUUUUGCGGUAUGAGAUGGACCCGCGUCUGAUUAGCUAGUUGGUAAGGUAAUGGCUUACCAAGGCUUCGAUCAGUAGCCGACCUGAGAGGGUGAUCGGCCACAUUGGAACUGAGACACGGUCCAA